rnacentral:rRNA from 1 species
AGCCAUUUGAAGAUAUUAAUGGUUAGACCUGCCCAAUGUGAAAAUGAAUGGCCGCGGUACUCUGACCGUGCUAAGGUAGCGUAAUCAGUUGGCUUUUAAAUGGAGUCAGGUAUGAAUGGGGUAACUGGGUUCAGCUGUCUCCUUAAUAAUCUCUUGAAUUUACUAUUCAGGUGAAAAAGCCUGAUUUUAAUAAAGGGACGAGAAGACCCUUAGAAUUUUUUAAAUAUUAAAUUAACUAUUUAAUUUUAUUUUGUUGGGGCGACAAAGAAAUAAUUAUGAACUUUCUUUCUACUACAAGCCGAUAUUAUUAAGCAAGAAUAAAUUACCUUAGGGAUAACAGCAUAAUUCUAAAAUUGAGUUUGUGACCUCGAUGUUGGACUAGGAAACUAGUAGACUAGCCGUUUACUAUGUUGGUUCUGUUCGAACUUUUAUUCCUA